UGCCACCGCUGCAGCCCCCAAG
rnacentral:piRNA from 1 species